rnacentral:rRNA from 1 species
AGCAGUCGCCACGGUAAUACGUAGGGUCCGAGCGUUGUCCGGAAUUAUUGGGCGUAAAGAGCUCGUAGGCGGUCUGUCGCGUCUGCCGUGAAAUCCUCAGGCUCAACCUGAGGCGUGCGGUGGGUACGGGCAGGCUAGAGUGCGGUAGGGGAGAAUGGAACUCCUGGUGUAGCGGUGGAAUGCGCAGAUAUCAGGAAGAACACCGAUGGCGAAGGCAGUUCUCUGGGCCGUAACUGACGCUGAGGAGCGAAAGCGUGGGGAGCGAACAGGAUUAGAUACCCGCGUAGUCCCUGUCUCUUAUAA